GAGAGGAGUCAUCAUCCAGGUAAAGUGACGUGGAUCAGUGGAUACACUUGUCUCCCCUUUAAAGGAGACGAUCCAAGUCAUCCUUAAAUAUGGGCAGCAUAUCAGUCUUGGACUGUCUAACCUGCAGCACUGAAUGACCACCACACAUGAGCAUGUUCCUGCAACAUUCAGCAUCUGAUCCUUCAUCUGUGUGCUUCUGCUUUUGUGUCACAUGUCAAACAGCUGGAGAGGAAACUACACCA